rnacentral:tRNA from 1 species
GGGGAAGUGUCGGAAUUGGUAGACGAGCUAGAUUUAGGAUCUAGUGCCGAGAGGCGUGUGGGUUCGAGUCCCUCCUUCCCCA